UCGAAGUGGCGUUGUGAUGAAUCCUGGAAUUAUAUCGGGUUGAAACUCGGAAUCAACCUUAUCGAAUCCUAUCGAAAAUUUUUGGAUAGCACUGACAAAUAAUCCAUUUUGUUACCGAACAGCUGUGGCCGUGAUCUGUUACAGAGGAUUAUCCGUGACGAACGUAACGAACUCGACGAGUUUCCCUGGGUGGCAUUAUUGGAAUAUUAAAAACACCACGGGACAGCACGUGCCGGUAUCUUAAUAAAUAAAUGCUACAUCCUUGCUAUCGCUCAUUGCGUCAAAGGGCUAAUCAGUCAACCAGCGCCUGUCCAGCGUUCCAUGGAAUAAUACGACACCAACA